rnacentral:misc_RNA from 1 species
AGAAGAUGAUUUUCGAGAUAGAAAGCGGGAAGAGAGAGAACUUUCAAUUAAGGUAGAGGAGAGGGAAAGAGAGAGAGAGAAAGCUAUCCUCGUGAAAGAGGAUAUGGAUCCAAAUGCCUCAAAGAGGCGUAAACUUAAGAGAGAGCAUAUGGCUUCAGAACCUGGAGAAUAUUCACCCGCUGCUCAUCCUCCUCUUUCUAUUAAUAUGACGCAGCCCAGUGAUGGAAGAGAUAGGGGAGAGCGGAAGGGUGUUAUUGUUCAGCAGCGUCCAGGUUACUUGGACGAGCCAGGUCUUAGGAUUCAUGGAAAAGAAAGUGCCAGCAAAGCACCCCGUCGUGAUGCGGACUCUAUGUAUGACAGAGAGUGGGAUGACGACAAGAGGCAAAGAGCUGAGCCCAAGAGGCGGCAUCGGAAGUAAUUGCUAAACCACUAGACAACCGAAGUUCUGCCGAAGUAAAAUUUACUUGUUCUUUUUGGCUUGUGUCAUGUAUGUUCCCAGACCGAUUUUGUUUAGUCAAUUGUUUAUUAGGCCCUUUAUGAGGUUUGAAUUACUACCUGCAUGUAGGUAGGCAAGAAGGAUGUGUUUCUUUGUGGCAAAUUGUUUUGGAACCCUCGAUUUACGUUAUAUUACAUGUCAUAUAUGCAUACCGCUUACAAUUUUGGAAGAAAGAAA